rnacentral:lncRNA from 1 species
UCUUCCAGUCUGUCCUCCAUAUGAUCACUACUGUGACUUUUUGAUCUGAUCAUGCCCUACUCCUAAUUAGAAAACAUUUUUGGCUUGCUACUGCUCAAUCCUAGUCCGGCAAACCAGAAGUAGCUUCAGAAUUCCUUUUAUUUGUCUGUCUGUCUGUGUGUUUGUUUGUUUGUUUGUUUUGAGACAGGGUCUUGCUCUGUUGCCCAGCCUAGAAUGCAGUGGUGUGAUCAUGACUCACUGCAGCCUAAACUUCCUGGGCUCAAACAAUCCUCCCACGACAGGUGCGUGCCACCAUGCCCAGGUAAUUUUUGCAUUUUUUGUAGAGACGGGGUUUCACCAUGUUGACUUACAGGAAAAUGAAUAAAGUGUUAUUCUAAUAUUAGGUAUUAUUAAAAAUAAUAUAUAAUAAUAGAUAUAAUAAAAGAAAUAUAAAUCUUGGGAAGACAUAUAAUAUUACUCUUUGAUAACAAGGAGACAUAUAUUCUGUUCACAGACCAGGAAGAGUGAAUUCUACAGCCCUAAUCUCAUUAUUCAUUGUCUAAGUGAAAUCAACCAAGUUUAGGCAUCCGCCUUGAGGUGAGCCUUUAAGGGCCUAGACUUAUUACCUGAAUUGCCCCACCCCCACUGCCUUAUUUAAAAUAUCUGGGAUGUGUGUGCAUAAAUCUUCUACUAAGCCUUUAUUUUACCCAUUCUCAGAAAUAAGAGUCAACAACUGCAACAGACUCAGCACUGGAGGGAGGCGAGGUGGGAGGACUCCCCUGUCCAGUAGAGACUGUGCUAGUUGUUUAAGGCUGACAUCCAUUCUUUUUGAUCAGAGUCUAUGUUAGACAGUUCUAUGAGGUGGGUAUUUUUAUUAAUAUCAUCUCUAUUUUAAAAUUAGAAAAUUGAGAGUUUAAAUAACUCUCAAGGUCACAUACUCAAGGUCACAUAGCUAGCAAGUACUAGAGUCAGUAUUUGAACUCAAUCUGUCCCCAGGCUCUGUGCUCAUAACCUUGACACUAUUGUCAAGUAACUGAGUGCAAGGGUCUAUGGAAAAGACUCCUAACCAGGACAUGAAGCGGAAUCAGAUGAGUGGAGAGGGUACAAAGGGGAGACGGCAGAACUCCAAAGGCAAUUCUGUCUGUCCUACCCCUGGAGAGGCCUAGAUGGAAUAUUUGUAACUGAAUAUUAUGCAUUCAAGGAGUAUUUGAGCAGGCCAGGACUUGGAAAAAAUAGACGGAUGCUGUGAUGGCUAAUUUUAUGUGUCACCUUGACUGGGCAAAGGGAUGCCCAGAUACCUGGUAAAAAUGUUAUUUCUGGAUGUGUCCAUGACGGUGUUUUCAGAAGAGAUUAGCAUUUGGAUUGAUAGAGUGAAUAAAGAAGAUCCACCCUCACCGAUGUGAGUGGACAUCAUCCAAUCCACUGAGGGCUUGAAUAGAACAAAAAACAGUGGAAAGGCAAAUUGUCCCUUUCUCUUCUUGAGCUGGGAUAUCCGUCUUCUCCUACCCUCAGACACUGGAGCUUCUGGCUCUUGGGACUCUAGCAGAACCCCACCUGCUCACCCGCAGGCCUCAGGCCUUCAGAUUAGGACUGAAUUCCACCACUGGCUUUCCGGGUUCUCCAGCUUGCAGAUGGCAGAUGAUGAGACUUCUCAGCCUCCAUAAUCAUGUGAGCCAAUUCCCAUAAUAAAUCUCUCUCUCUCUAUCUCUGUCUUACUCUCUCUUGAUUCUGUUUCUCUGAAGAACCCUAACUAAUACAGAUACCUUCAUUUUACAAAUGAAUAAAGUGCAGUGCCAGAGAAGUUCUGUGAAUUGUCUAGGGUCAUACACUCCUUCAUUUAUUUAAUUGUGCAUUAAGUCAACUAGUAUUCUAGGUACCAAGGAAGUCAACAUACUAGACCACAUUGCCUGUCUUCAAGAAAGUUAUGUUUUGGUUAGAAAAGCAUAUAGGACCUCGGCCUCCACCUCAGCCUCCGCCUCCACCUCCGCCUCCACCUCCACCUCGUCUCCCACUUUCCACAGUCUCCCUCUGAUGCCGAGCGGAGGCUGGACUAUACUGCCACCAUCUCGGCUCACUGCAACCUCCCUGCCUGAUUCUCCUGCCUCAGCCUGCCGAGUGCCUGGGAUUGCAGGCGCGCACCGCCACGCCUGACUGGUUUUUGUAUUUUUUGGUGGAGACUGGGUUUCGCCGUGUUGGCGCGGCUGGUCUCCAGCUCCUGACCGCGAGUGAUGUGCCCGCCUGGGCCUCCUGAGGUGCCGGGAUUGCAGACGGAGUGUCGCUCACCCAGGUCUCAAUCUUGCCCAGGCUGGAGUGCAGUGGCGUGAUCUCGGCUCGCUACAACCUCCACCUCGCAGCCACCUGCCUUGGCCUCCCAAAGUGCUGAGAUUGCAGCC